UACGUAGGGCGCGAGCGUUGUCCGGAAUUAUUGGGCGUAAAGAGCUCGUAGGCGGCCUGUUGCGUCCGCUGUGAAAUCCCAGGGCUCAACCCUGGGCGUGCAGUGGAUACGGGCAGGCUGGAGGCAGGCAGGGGGAGAACGGAAUUCCCGGUGUAGCGGUGAAAUGCACAGAGAUCGGGAAGAACACCAGUGGCGAAGGCGCUCUACUAGGCCGUGACUGACACUGAGAGACGAUAGCUAGGGGGAGCGAACAGG
rnacentral:rRNA from 1 species